CGGGGUGCAGCAGGCGCGAAAACUUUACAAUGCGGGAAACCGUGAUAAGGGGACACCGAGUGCCAGCAUCAUAUGCUGGCUGUCCAGGUGUGUAAAAUACACCUGUUAGCAAGGGCCGGGCAAGACCGGUGCCAGCCGCCGCGGUAACACCGGCGGCCCGAGUGGUGAUCGUGAUUAUUGGGUCUAAAGGGUCCGUAGCCGGUUUGGUCAGUCCUCCGGGAAAUCUGACGGCUCAACCGUUAGGCUUUCGGGGGAUACUGCCAGGCUUGGAACCGGGAGAGGUAAGAGGUACUACAGGGGUAGGAGUGAAAUCUUGUAAUCCCUGUGAGACCACCUGUGGCGAAGGCGUCUUACCAGAACGGGUUUGACGGUGAGGGACGAAAGCUGGGGGCACGAACCGGAUUAGAUACCCGGGUAGUCCCAGCCGUAAACGAUGCUCGCUAGGUGUCAGGCAUGGCGCGACCGUGUCUGGUGCCGCAGGGAAGCCGUGAAGCGAGCCACCUGGGAAGUACGGCCGCAAGGCUGAAACUUAAAGGAAUUGGC
rnacentral:rRNA from 1 species